rnacentral:rRNA from 1 species
AGCGAACGCUGGCGGCAGGCUUAACACAUGCAAGUCGAACGCCCCGCAAGGGGAGUGGCAGACGGGUGAGUAACGCGUGGGAACAUACCCUUUCCUGCGGAAUAGCUCUGGGAAACUGGAAUUAAUACCGUAUACGCCCUACGGGGGAAAGAUUUAUCGGGGAAGGAUUGGCCCGCGUUGGAUUAGCUAGUUGGUGGGGUAAAGGCCUACCAAGGCGACGAUCCAUAGCUGGUCUGAGAGGAUGAUCAGCCACAUUGGGACUGAGACACGGCCCAAACUCCUACGGGAGGCAGCAGUGGGGAAUAUUGGACAAUGGGCGCAAGCCUGAUCCAGCCAUGCCGCGUGAGUGAUGAAGGCCUUAGGGUUGUAAAGCUCUUUCACCGAUGAAGAUAAUGACGGUAGUCGGAGAAGAAGCCCCGGCUAACUUCGUGCCAGCCGCCGCCGUAAAAC